GACGAACGCUGGCGGCGUGCUUAACACAUGCAAGUCGAACGGAAAGGCCCUGCUUUUGUGGGGUGCUCGAGUGGCGAACGGGUGAGUAACACGUGAGUAACCUGCCCUUGACUUUGGGAUAACUUCAGGAAACUGGGGCUAAUACCGGAUAGGAGCUCCUGCUGCAUGGUGGGGGUUGGAAAGUUUCGGCGGUUGGGGAUGGGCUCGCGGCUUAUCAGCUUGUUGGUGGGGUAGUGGCGUACCAAGGCGUUGACGGGUAGCCGGCCUGAGAGGGUGACCGGCCACAUUGGGCUUGAGAUACGGGCCAGAGUCCUACGGGCGGCAGCAGUGGGGAAUAUUGCACAAUGGGCGGAAGCCUGAUGCAGCAACGCCGCGUGGUGGAUGACGGCUUUCGGGUUGUAAACCGCUUUCGCCUGUGACGAAGCGUGAGUGACGGUAAUGGGUAAAGAAGCACCGGCUAACUACGUG
rnacentral:rRNA from 1 species